GCCUUCGGUGGGAUCCAAUUCUUUGUCGAUUGAGUCGUUUCUGUGUAAAGUUUCAAACUUUGAUUGUUCCACUUGUUGAAAUUUCCGAGCAUCGUCCGCGCGGAGUCAAUUAGGGUUCUUGAAUUUGGCGGUUUUCUUCGGAAUACAAAAUCGUUCCUCGCUUUCUAGAUAAACCAUAAGAUAGCCGCGACUGCAUCGAAGGAUCUGUCCAAACCGAGUUUGUCCAAGAACAGAGCAAGAAUAGGUGUUCCACUGAUUCCUCUUCUUGAUCACAGAAAGGGCAUGCUGGCGUAGGCAUUAGAACAAACGCUGGGUGUGCAUUCACUCAGCAAUGAAAUAUGGGCAGGGAACCACUCGAGUAUCGGCAUCACCGAGACGCUGCCAAAGGAACAUCUCCUUCGCUGACGCACAACCAGCGGAGAACAAGACAGCACGGACGAAACAGAUCGGCUUUGUCGCAGUCAGGGGGAAUCGGCAAACCUUGAAUGAAAAAUCGAUGAAGAAAGAAGUAAGUAAAGAUGAUGCGUUGAAGAA